ACCGCAACCUCCGCCCGCUCAUCCUGUAAAACAAAAACUGCCACGACCUCGGCCCGCUCCUCCAGUCCCCCGCCGGUCCAAUCGCCCACCACCGCCCGCUCCACUUGGCCUCCGUCUCCGCUGCUCGCACCUUGCCUCGUGCCGCUGCUCGCGGCCCCUUGCCUCUCCGGUGCCUGCACGCCGCCGUCGGGGACGUGGACGUGAACGCACGCGGGGUUACCGCCGGCGAACCAGCCAUGCGUGUGCCCGCGGAUUCCUCUGCCAGUUCGAGAUCUGCACUGGCCGCUGCUCGCCCCUUGCCUCGCCGCCGCACCCCUCAACUCACUCGCAUCGCCAUGCCUGCCCGGCAGGAGAUUGCUCCGGCCUCUGCCAGGUCGCCGCUACCGGGUACGUGGGUGGACGCGGGGCAAUCGGCCGCCAGCGAACGAGGACACGCAUGCGAGGCGCGCGGAGCAGCAGUGUCCUCCCAGCUGCCGGCGACGUCCUCUUGUCUCCUCCAUAGAGGAGGGACAUGGUCGUUAUUGUCGCUGCAGAGGUUGACAAAUAGCAGAAGAAGUGGGUCAGUUUGCAGCGGGGGAUUUGAUCUGUCAAUCUCUUUGAACAACAGAGACAUUCCGAUGACAGUGUAGCGCAUUGGCGGAUUGGAGGGCCCAGGGUUUGUUGCUGGGGGCAUUCAGCUUGUUGUGAUCUACGUGGAUUUCAAGUUGGACAAGAGCUACACACCGAGCAAGAUCUCCAUUGGGGCGGGCGACGGGUUCCACAAUCUCAAGAGAAUCAUUCAUUCACACAUCUAUGCUCCGAAUCGUGGUGUUGGCCAAUCACCUGAACGGGAGGGACACCCAUGUCCUACAGACCAAGAUAUGCGGGCCAUGACCUUAUAUAUGCAGAUCACUUUGGGUUUGCUACCAAGGUUCAGUUUGCAGUUGCUCUGCACACAUUGCUGAUGUGCGUGCCAACGCAGCUAUGCGGGUGAGGCAUUAUAUGGCCGGCAACAAGCGCAACCUCUCAGAUAAGACUACGAGUUCUUACGUAGUAUUACUUAAUCUCAAUGCAAGUUAUUGGUUCAGGAUUAUUUUUUGUUUUUCCCAUUCUUUGUUUUGACGCAACGCCACCAUGGAGUUCAUCGCCUACGACUUGCUACCUACACUCACACACACAUAUAUGAUCUACCCCGUCCUUCUGUGUACUUCCCCCUACUAUGGCAAUAGCACCGCCAGUAGUUGUAGUUCGCUGCUAGGUGGCCUUUCUAUCUUCAUCUUUUCCAUUGAUUUGCGGCCCCGACAGUGCUGGUUCCUCCCAGUGAUUUUAUUUUGUUAAGUAUUUUUAUAAUAGAUGUUCCUUUUUUAUCUAAAAAAAUUUAGGUACUAGCGGUCCAAGUGUUCAUCCUGAUUCUGUCCAUUUCUUCAGGGAAUUCUAGGAGGUCGUGGACCUGUGGUUAUCGUAUAUUGGUUUGGAGAUUCUUCACUUGACAAUUUGCAAUGACUAACGGGCCUGGAUUGAAGAUGCAUGAGGCAUCCCUGGAGAAUGGAGAUGAAUGAGGAAGUACUAAGAUAGUGAGAGAUGAGAUUCCAGCCUGGGUCCUGGUCCAAGAAAGAUGUUACGAAGUGGUAUGCCAAAACAAAAGCUAAUGUUUCCAUUCAAAUUAUGCAGUUUAGAAGGGAGGAGCUUGGUGGUGCUGGAGUUAAGGAGUACUACUGGUGGUGGGUUAGGAUAGUGUCGGUCGUUGUUUUCACAUGCUCUGUCUUCAGGUCCUCUCGCGAUGUCCUGCACCACUAGGAACCUCUCAUUCGCUCAUCGCCAUACACACUUCUACAUCGGCCGCUCAUGAUGAUCUAUAUUAUCCCCUUGUUGGGUUUGUUUAGCUUUUUGCAUGAUAAUUGUUUGAUUACUUAUACAUGGAGUAUUAGGUUGCGCUUUCUCCAAAGGUGUUGAUAUGAAAGCCUUUUUUCUGGUAGAUGUGGUUCAUUCCGCUUUUAAUAUCUUAUAAAGACUUCUAGCAUUUUAUCCUAAUGAUUAACCAACUAUUGAGGAGUUGGGCAUAUCUUUAUAAAAUAUAAAUUUUGGAUUA